GCAUCAACUAUUCGGAAAGAAGGCGGAAAAACCUUCGAAGGUCGCCAAACCACAAGUGCACAGCCCUCGGCGGCAGCACUGAUUCCCCGGAGGAAGAAGAGGGCUCCUCCCGUGAGAGCAGAGGGCAGCAGGAGAGACAAAGGCUCCGGUUGCCGCCCGGAACCCACCGGCGAGGGAGGAGCGUCUCUAAGAGGCAAUUUCACAGACUCUUCACUUGCUCCUCAAAUCCUGUCGGCAAAACUUGGAAGCCAUAAGGGUACUUGUGCUUCAUUCUUUACCUUUUUCGAGAUGGUGGAUAUUUAUAUUUCCCGCUCACACUGGGGUGUGUGAUUUACAGCGAGAGCAUUCACCACUGGAGAAGUCAGAGGGGUCAGUCCCUCUUAUCACUCCCUUCUUUUACCCCCGGCUUUCACAAGCGCCCAGAAUGAGAGGAUCGCCUUUCCGGGACACAAUAGAAUUGUACUUCAAAAAAUAAACGUGAAGGAAACAUGUUCACAUGCUUUAAAAGCGCAAGACCCUAAAUCCAGCCGAUCUUGCCUGACUGUAAUGUGCUGUACAAGCUUUGUGCACACAGGAGUGCCCUCUAGUGAAUAACAAUAUCUGGAUCUCGAAAGCAAUAUUUUGCCGUGAACAUUUCGCAGUUAAGAGAAAUUGUCACGUUUUUGAACUGCGAGUAAUUUUUUUGCCUUUUCUUUGGAAAUCUGUCCCGUGAAUGAGAAAAUCCUUCUCAUAUAUACACCUUCUAAAACAUCUUGUAGUCAUUCAUAUGGCAGGGGCACUUCUUUAUGAUUUUUGACAAGGGCAUUUAUAACACCUUAAUCAUCGAAAGCUUGGCAAGUAGAAAAGACGGGACACAAGAGUGAAAUUCGUGCAGCAAAUUUUUAUGGAAGUACAGCAAGCUAUAUAAAAAGACAGGUGCAGAAGAUUGCUGGAUCCAAAAGACUAGACAUGAGACAGAGCCAAAUUUGGAAACCCUUGGUAAUAUGAAAUAGCAGAAGCCAAUGAUGUUGCCUAAUGCUUAUGGGGAAAGAGAAGGAUGAACACUGAAAAAUGUCAAAGAGUUGGGGAUGGAGGGCCAUAGCUCCUUGCACAUGGGGUAUGCUAAGAGUAGUGAAGAUACGGUUAUGAGCAUGGAAUAGCAAUAGUGUCCUCCAGGCCCUGAUAAAGAGGCAAAUAAAUCACUGGUCUAAUUUCAAUGAAAAGUCAUGUAUUUCCAGGUUACUGCAGAAGACAGUUGCCCUCAUUCACAUUCCAAUUAAGAUUUCCUCUGGCAUUACAUGGCUGAGAUUUCCUUAAUUGAGUUUUUUCACUUACUGUAAACAUGAGGACAUCCAGGAUGAAGAGAAGUGUCAAAAAAGAGUGUUGUAUAAGUCUGGCACUUAGGAAGAUCUAGUCUUCCUUCUCAUGAAGCAGAUGAAGAUCCCCAUGUAGAACAGGUACUCAGCAAGUGUCCUCAGAAACAAGCAAAAAAUAUUUUGUCUUAGUGCAGACAAACUAAAAGUGUAAAAACUUUGCAAAAUCCACAAGCUCUCUUACUUGCUGGCUCUGCAAAGUCUGCACAUAUGUGGAUAUGCUUUACUGGCACAUCCAAAUCAGAAGGACCAUGAAGAUAAUCUGUAGCUCUCUGACACCCACUGCAUGGCUAUACACAUUCAUGAUAAAAGCUUUGUAUGCUCCUGAUAUGCUUCAGUUUUGAAAAAUAAAUGCUUUCUCCCCAUCAAGUUUAGAUUUGGCUUGAACAAUCCAUCAAAUAACAUUGCAAUUCUUCAUGCUUUUCCUAAGGUUUCUAUUGGAAAGCACAAGUAUUCCCCUGAAGUGUAACAGGGCACAAGAAAGAAAAAAAUUACUUUCCCAGAAACACUGGCAUCCUUUUUAGUUGCCUAGACAGAUGAUAUCCCAAGAAAUUUUGAUAAGGUUUGUCCCAGCAGUACAGCUUAUCAGCCAUGAGCUUCAGCUUUCAAUACAUUAUAUUUAAAGUAUUUGGUGAGAGCUGUAACCAGAAUUGCUGGCACGAAUUCCCCAUGCAGGCAGUGAAAAGACCAAGAAAAGGAGACUGAAGACAGGUAAGUAGUCUGAAGUACCAUGGAGAUUUUGAACCCACUUUGUGCAUGUGAGUUUGUGAAUUAGGUCUGCUUGCCAGAAAAGGGUCCGUAGUGCUGCAGGAAACUGCAGUCGCCUUCAGCUGGCCCCGGUUAGGCAUGCAUUUACAGGCACAGAACCCUGAAUAUUUAUACAUAGUAUGAGUUAGUAAACUUUUGAACAAGUCACUUACUGUGGGAAAAAGUCCUAUAAAUUUCACCAGGCUCAGAAAGAAGUGUUAUUUAUUCAUUGUUAAAAUCUCACAAUGUCUGCAGCUGUUCUUACAGAUUUUAUUGAGGUAACUCUAUGAGACUGGAGAAUGGAUACUGAAAUAAUUUGCUUUAAAAUAAGAAAAGCUGAAAGUGAAACUUUACAGAUUUUUAAAUUCCUAUUUCUUAUUUUAUCAGGUGUACAUUUUCAUUUUCUAUUUAGACAUAGUACACACCAUCAGAAAGAUCAGACUUGAAGUUCUAGUGGAAAAACUCAAGCACAUUCCUACUUAAGCACUUAAGGAUGCGUCUUUCCUCCUUAUGAUGCCUUUCUUCUCCUUGCAAAUAUCGAUUAGCAAAUAUCUAUAACUACAAACAUGGUAAAACCAUGCAAUAAAAUAGGCUGUCAUGCUCAUGGUCACUUUCAAUCUGAGUCACAAAGAAAAUGUGUUUUCAAAUUUUAUGCUUUAGAUGAAUCAGAUUCCUAUAGAGACACAUGCUUCAGAUAUAUUUUUCCAGUCUUAUGCAUGCAUAUAUUUAGUCCAAGAAUUUCCAUUAGUCUAAAGCAGAAUGCUCUGGCAAAAUGUCCUCUGCAGGAGAAAUCAACUAUUUCCAGUUUCUGAAGCCUCUGUUACUGACUGUUCUCUCAACUACAGAGGAUAAUUUAAGUAAGGGUUCUUCUUCAUCUGUAGCCUAAGGUCAACUAGGUCAUGAAAAACAGUGUUGGAAAUGUAAAUGCAAGAUGGCACUUCCUUAAGAGUUAAACAAAAUUUGCAGAAACUAUAUAUAAACAUAAAUGUUGUGAAUUUAAUUUGGGGCAGGGUUGUAGAUAUAAUGAGGUGUUUUCAGAUAUCAUUAGUGAGGGUAACAUACAAUAUUUUCAGGCCUAACUAGAAAUGUCUAAUUGGUUUGGCACCUCCAAAACUGAUGAUCACAUUGUUCAUUUACCUUACAAUCUUUCACUGAGUGAAAUUACUCUGUUGAAGGGCCAUGUGAUAAAAAAGAAAUUAUAAAAUAAAAUGGCUCUGAAGAUCUCAAAUGCCAGCAGUUUAGCAAUUUCUAUUACUGCCUUUACCCAGUGUUCUUGGCCAUAUGGAUUCUUCUUCUUUUGUUGCCUCUUGAGCAACUUUGCAAAUAGAACAUUAAUAAACCCCAAGGACUUAAAAAAAUACCAUAGACCAUGACUUAACCACAUUCAUUUUAGAUUGGUUUACUGGGGAUGAGGAAGAAGAAGGUGACUUUUACAGUAUCUUGGGCUAAGAGGAAGUCUGUAGUUGCCGCCUCACUUUUCCACCAAGGAAAACAAUAAUAUUUGCUUUUAAUUACUUUGGGAUUUUCAACUGCUUAAAUAACAUCAUUGUUCAGAGAAGAAAAGAUUGAAACUAGACAGCUUUAAAAUAUUGCUACUAGUGAAUAAGACUUCUUCUUUAAUCACUUGCAGAAUUAAUAUUAGUUAUGUUUAAUCUUUCUUUAGGUCAUAUUUUCUGUAUGACACUGAAGAUUUUUCAGGUUGUUAUUCUUAAUAUCUGUUUAAACAAAAUGAUGCUGUGAAGAUUUCUCUUUGUUCUUUCACACAUACAAUUCUGCUCAUUAUUUUUUAAAAAGCACUUAACACAUUGAGUUUCACAAUAAAUCUAACUGUACAGCAAUCUCUUUCUUAUAAACUGGUAAAAAAAGAAGAUAUUUUAGUAUAUAUUUAUACAUUGCAGGCAAAGCAAGAAAGGAAGUAUUUUCACACAAGAUUAUUUUUCAUUAAUAUCUGUUGUCAAUGCUAUAAACUGAGAUUUUUCAACAGUAAAUUGUUGGGAAUUUGUUGUUUGUAAUUUCAAACCUUCAUUUUGAUGACAUAUGGGGCUGUGAAGUGUUAGAUAACUGCCUUCAAACAAUAGGCCGUGAAAAUAUUUGAAUACAAAUAAGAUUAUAAUUAAAUGAGGAAUUAAUUUUUUUAAGGGGAUAUGCUAUUAUGGAGCAAAUCUAAUUUCUUUCCUCUCUAAAAUCUAGUUUUCUUAAUAGAUUCAAGUUUAAAAUGAUUUUUUUAAAUGCCCUCAAAAAGAAAAUAAUACCUUGAAGUUUCCUGGCUUUAGCCAUACUUUUUUAUUUUGAACAAGUAUUCUAAAAAUGUUCUUUUUUCCCCUAAUUACUUGUAAUUUCUUGAAUUAUAGUGUGGUACAAAUAAAUCACAAAAAGAACUGCUUGCAUUAUGGCAUUCAGCUGCAAAUUCUGUAUAAUUGUAUGCAGAUACAUACAAGUUUAAGCACACAGUCAAGCAACACACUCACUGAAUUCACAUUUAAACCCAAAGAAGGAUAAUUCCUCUCACAGAGUAUUCUGGAUUCAUAAAAGUAACUGAACACAAUCCCAAAGCAAUGCACAGCUCACCUCAGAAUAAAGAACCAGUAUCCAAGUCAGAGAUAACUUCUGAAAUGUAUUUGCAGUUUCUUGGUAUUUUUUUUUUUGAUCUCUGAAAACAGUAGCAGUGGAUGUCUGGAGAAAAUGGUCCUUGUAAAAGUAAAAUCUUGCCUCUGUGAAGGGCAGCAGACAUUCUUUCACCUGUACCUGCCUUUUGCUAACAUGCCUCUCAGCUUCCCCAUGCCAGACUUAGUCCCACAUCUAAAGAGGCUGGGAAGCCAAGACAGCAUGCCAACACAGUGGAUUGGGUCAGCAUGGGAUAGCAGCUCCAAGCACAUCAGGCAACUGCAGGCUUCAUAACGAGACCUGCUGAGGAAGGACAAGAACAUGCAAAGUAUAAAAAAGAUUCAGUGGUGACUCUGGAUGUUAUGAGGAGUCUAAAUGAAAAUUUAAAUGAAAGUCUACUGGGUAGACUUAAAUAUGUAAUAUUUUAGAGAAAAGGAGGUGUCACCUAUUAUUGGUGUUUGCUUGGCACUGUGUGCAGUGGUCAAAAAUUACCUAUUACUCUAUAAAAAGUGUCCCUGUAGUUCAGGGACAUAUAUAAAUAAGUAGUUCAUACUUAUUUAUAUAUAAUGGAAAAUAAGAUAUGGGAAUUAACUUACUCUCUUGUCUUCCGUGAAACUUUGACACGAAUCUCUUCCACAAGUUUCCAAGAUGCUGGUUCCACUGCAAGUAUUUGGAGUGCAUUUUAGUGUAUGUCACUAUACCUUACAAUUGAAGUGUUAAGUAUUUUUAGGUUUCUGUUGAAUUCUCAAGACGUAGAUGAUGAAGGAAGAUGAAUUCUUAUAUAGGCAGAAAACAAAUACAUGGGCACUACCUUCAUUUAGUUUUAUUGCUCUAUCAGUAUUUGGUUUUGCACUUUCCUAUCAGUAUGAUAAUCACAUUCUUAGCUUGUGUGUUUAUGUGUUUUUUAAGUCAGCCUAAGAGCUCUUGUCAUUAACAGGAAAUCUGUAAGCUUAACAAAAAUUUGGCAGCUGGCAGAGAGAGUAAAAGGUGGAGCUCAGGGGUUAUGAGUAUGGGGCUGAGCAGAGAGAAUUCAGGGUGUUUUUGCAGGGUCUGGGGCUCAAUCACAAAACUUAAAUAAGAGAGAAAUACCAAUUUUGCAUGUCACAUCCUACGACAGUAUUGCAAAUGUUCAAGAACCAAAUGCAUUUGAAAAAAAAGGUUGCUUACUUCCUCAGUGCCAUUUACAUGUUGCCCAAAAAAGCAGAUAUCAAGGUUGCACCAAAAAAAAAAAAAAAAAAAAAAAAAAAAA
ensembl:lncRNA